rnacentral:rRNA from 1 species
AAUUGCUAGUAAUCGCAGAUCAGCAUGCUGCGGUGAAUACGUUCCCGGGCCUUGUACACACCGCCCGUCACACCAUGAGAGUCGAUAACACCCGAAGCCUGUAGUCUAACCAUAAGGGGACGCAGUCGAAGGUGGGAUUGAUAAUUAGGGUGAAGUCGUAACAAGGUACC